GCGCGCUAUAGCGCGAGGCGCAGCGCAGCGCAAGGAUUGCGCUUCGGAACUAUGGGCUAUAGCGCAGAACACAAAGGCGCUGAGGCGCGCGCUUUUUGCUGUGAGGUAAAAAUCAGUCUUACGUUCGCGAUGCACUGAAUAAUUUCUUCCUUUAAAUCGAUGGGAGCCCUAUUCGAUCGACAAACCAGAUCGAGCAACAGCCUCUUCGACGAUUCAGAGUCUCGGACGAUCGGACCCAGCUUCUUCUUCUCUGGUCUCCCUCUCCCUCUCUGAUUGUCAACUCCAAGUAACAACUUCUUCUUCCUCCUCCUCCUCCUCUUCCUCCUCCUCUCACCAUCUCACGUUUGCUUCCUCCUCCUCCUCUCACCUUCUUCUUCCUCAUUUUCUUUCUAUUUUCACCGAUUGUCCAGGACCCCCUUUUCUUUUUUCUUUUUUUUCCAGUCACAACCCCCCUUUUCUUUUUCUUUUUCUUUUUUCCAGUAGUAGGACCCCCCUUUGCUUUUUUUUUUCUUUUUUUUUUCGCCUGUUUUUUUUUUUGUUUUUGUUUCCAGCUCUGUUUAAAGUAUUUGUUCAGUUUGUUGUAUUUAUUUGUACUUGUUAUUUGUAGAUGACAUCUGAAAAUUCUAGUAAUGCCUAUGCAUGCCUCUAGAUUUUAUUGUCUUUAAUCCUUUUGUUAUGUCUCUAAGGCUAAACAUUAUUAUGUUAGCUUUUCAUGGAUGAUAUGUUAUGUUUAGUGUUUGGUACUUUCGUUUAACCAUUGACAUGUUAUGUUUUAUGACAUUUGAAA